GACGAACGCUGGCGGCGUGCCUAAUACAUGCAAGUCGAGCGAAGUUUUUCUGGUGCUUGCACUAGAAAAACUUAGCGGCGAACGGGUGAGUAACACGUAUAGAACCUGCCUCAUAGACUGGGACAACUAUUGGAAACGAUAGCUAAUACCGGAUAACAGUAUUUCUCGCAUGAGAGAUAUUUAAAAGUUGGUUAUGCUAACACUAUGAGAUGGCUUUGCGGUGCAUUAGCUAGUUGGUGGGGUAAAGGCCCACCAAGGCGGCGAUGCAUAGCCGACCUGAGAGGGUGAUCGGCCACCCUGGGACUGAGACACGGACCAGACUCCUACGGGAGGCAGCAGUAGGGAAUCUUCCGCAAUGGGCGAAAGCCUGACGGAGCAACGCCGCGUGAGUGAAGAAGGAUUUCGGUUCGUAAAGCUCUGUUGUUAGGGAAGAAUGGAUAUGUAGUAACUAUACAUGUAAGAGACGGUACCUAACCAGAAAGCCACGGCUAACUACGUG
rnacentral:rRNA from 1 species